rnacentral:rRNA from 1 species
GUGUCAGCAGCCGCGGUAAUACGGAGGGCGCAAGCGUUGUUCGGAAUUACUGGGCGUAAAGCGCGUGUAGGCGGCCAGGUAAGUCGGAUGUGAAAGCCCGGGGCCCAACCCCGGAACUGCACCCGAUACUGCUUGGCUGGAGUCCCGGAGAGGAUGGCGGAAUUUCCGGUGUAGAGGUGAAAUUCGUAGAUAUCGGAAGGAACACCAGUGGCGAAGGCGGCCAUCUGGACGGUGACUGACGCUGAGACGCGAAAGCGUGGGGAGCAAACAGGAUUAGAAACCCCCGUAGUCC